rfam:Heligmosomoides polygyrus genome assembly, scaffold: HPBE_scaffold0000616
GCGCCGGUGGUGUAAGGCGAACAUCGCUUCCCGGAAAGCAGAAGAUGCGGGUACGAGUCCCGUCUGGUGCA